rnacentral:rRNA from 1 species
UACGUAGGGGGCAAGCGUUGUCCGGAUUUAUUGGGCGUAAAGAGCGUGUAGGCGGCCAGACAGGUCCGUUGUGAAAACUGGAGGCUCAACCUCCAGACGUCGAUGGAAACCGUCUGGCUAGAGUCCGGAAGAGGAGAGUGGAAUUCCUGGUGUAGCGGUGAAAUGCGCAGAUAUCAGGAAGAACACCCGUGGCGAAAGCGGCUCUCUGGGACGGUACUGACGCUGAGACGCGAAAGCUAGGGGAGCGAACGGG